rnacentral:rRNA from 1 species
AUCCAGACUCCUACGGGAGGCAGCAGUAGGGAAUUUUCGUCAAUGGGCGCAAGCCUGAACGAGCAAUGCCGCGUGAACGAGGAAGGUCUUCGGAUCGUAAAGUUCUGUUGACGGGGAAAAAAGACCGGGAAAGGAAAUGAUCCCGGAGGAGAUAUUACCCGUCGAGGAAGUCACGGCUAACUCCGUGCCAGCAGCCGCGGUAAUACGGAGGAUGCGAGCGUUAUCCGGAUUUAUUGGGUUUAAAGGGUGCGUAGGCGGAAUGCCAAGUCAGCGGUAAACUCGGGGGGCUCAACCUCGCCCCGCCGUUGAAACUGGCGUUCUUGAGUGGGCGAGAAGUAUGCGGAAUGCGUGGUGUAGCGGUGAAAUGCAUAGAUAUCACGCAGAACUCCGAUUGCGAAGGCAGCAUACCGGCGCCCAACUGACGCUGAAGCACGAAAGCGUGGGUAUCGAACAGGAUUAGAUACCCCAGUA